rnacentral:lncRNA from 1 species
CGACGAGGCCGCCGUGCGCGCCCUGUGCACGCCGCCCGACGCGCGCCGCCGCCUGGGCGCCGCCGUCCUCGGCCUCGUCCUCCACUCCGGUGUAAUUGUAAUCUUGUUCAUGUGGAGGGCAGUGGCAGAUGCGCGUGGUUGAGCACCGCGGACGGUCGCGUGACGUGCCUGUCGCUGCCGGAGCUGGCCCCGCUGUGCUGCACACGCGCCGACAUCGCUCCCACCGAUUCUGCUAAUUACCACUACAUCCAGCCCGCUGUCUCCGAACAGUUCUUAGCCUGUCCCGGCGGCGCGCGGUCGGGCCGCGUGUGGCUGUGGUCGGC